GCCGCGCCGCGAGUUCUGGGGGGCGGCGCGGAUGAUCGACAAAUCGGUUGUUUUCAUCGUGAAUUCAAAAUCAUUAAUUAGUUUUUGUCCGGCGUUUUACGAGCUUCAAUGUAUGCGCAAUUGUAAAAGUAUAGAAAGUGAUGCUUGGCUUGACAAACAAAAAUGCAUACGAAUGCAGUGAUCGAGAGUUGGGGAAUCGACACGUUGAGGAAUCGAUCGUUUUAAAGGAAUCGGUGAACGGGUCGGUUGAUAUGGCCAUUUAUAUCAAUCUAGACUUCCGGUAAACAAUAAAGGAGCAACGUGAUCGACACCCGGGGCAAGGAAUGGCGGUGAAAAAUAGCGAAAAUGCACGGUCGAAGCGAAACCGGUCACUUCCGGUCAUCCGUGUCUCACGCUUCCAUCCUUCUUCGACGCGCAUUGUCGAUGAUAGUCUAGAUCAGACUGUACCACGACUUAGAAGACGUUGAUGAGGUCUAUAUGAAAGAUGGGUCAGGGUCAUGUACAAUGUACUCUGUACACACAACGACAAAAUUUCAUAACGCGAGGCUGACCUGCACGUUCGCGUCGAUUUGAACGGUCCGGCUGCAUGAAAGCUGCGGAAUGCGAGCAGCUUCCUGUUUUGGGACCCCAUAAGCAACAAAUCAUAACGCCGUAAUAUCAAUCGAUCGUAAUGCAAACUCGUCGAUCAGAAGAUAUGUGCAUGAAUAAUUUCAACAGAUCGUACGAUGAAGCACGACAGUUGUUUUAUUCGGCGAAAAGUGCAACGACGUUUGUUUUGCCAUUGGCUUUAAGCAUAAAGGAUCAACUAAAGUUGAGCUAUAUUCAAUUAAUAUACGUAAGUCCUGGUAGUAUUUAAUCGUGAAGAAACGAUGAACUUUUACGACGACUCUUCAAUUUCGAUAUUUUUGUAUGUAGAUUCGCUAUUUUGAACUGUUAUCAGAAUACAAUGGUUAUUACUGUUAUCAAUUGUUACUACUAACAUAUUUACUGAUAGUUUUAUAGUUUAAUCCAUAACAGCUUUAUAUUAAAUGGAUGAAAAUUGUGUAAUAGUUUGGAGUUGAAUGAAUGAGUCCAAUUUGAGAAAUUAGUUCGCUUAUACAUAAAUUGUACAGUUUCAAACGAAUUUGUAGAAAACGACAAGUAAUAACUUGUCAUCUAAAUAAAUCUAAAUUAUUCUAAAUA